CGGGAGGCAGCAGUGGGGAAUAUUGGACAAUGGGGGAAACCCUUAUCCAGCGACGCCGCGUGAGGGAAGAAGGUUUUCGGAUUGUAAACCUCUGUCAGUGGGGACGAUAAUGACGGUACCCACGGAGGAAGCCACGGCUAACUACGUGCCAGCAGCCGCGGUAAUACGUAGGUGGCAAGCGUUGUCCGGAAUUACUGGGUGUAAAGGGAGCGUAGGCGGGAUGUCAAGUCAGAAGUGAAAAUUAUGGGCUCAACUCAUAACCUGCUUUUGAAACUGAUAUUCUUGAGUGAAGUAGAGGCAAGCGGAAUUCCUAGUGUAGCGGUGAAAUGCGUAGAUAUUAGGAGGAACACCAGUGGCGAAGGCGGCUUGCUGGGCUUUUACUGACGCUGAGGCUCGAAAGCGUGGGGAGCAAACAGGAUUAGAUACCCUGGUAGUCCACGCUGUAAACGAUGAUUACUAGGUGUGGGGGGAUUGAACCCUUCC
rnacentral:rRNA from 1 species